CCUACGGGAGGCAGCAGUGGGGAAUAUUGCACAAUGGGGGAAACCCUGCUGCAGCGACGCCGCGUGAGCGAGGAAGUAUUUCGGUAUGUAAAGCUCUAUCAGCAGGGACGAAAAAAGACGGUACCUGACUAAGAAGCCCCGGCUAACUACGUGCCAGCAGCCGCGGUAAUACGUAGGGGGCAAGCGUUAUCCGGAUUUACUGGGUGGAAAGGGAGCGUAGACGGCAAGGCAAGCCAGAAGUGAAAGGGCAGGGCUCAACCCUGUACAUGCUUUUGGAACUGUGGUGCUAGAGUGCAGGAGAGGUAAGUGGAAUUCCUAGUGUAGCGGGGAAAUGCGUAGAUAUUAGGAGGAACACCAGUGGCGAAGGCGGCUUACUGGACUGUAACUGACGUUGAGGCUCGAAAGCGUGGGGAGCAAACAGGAUUAGAUACCCUUGUAGUC
rnacentral:rRNA from 1 species